CAUGCAAGUCGAGCGGUAAGGCCCUUCGGGGUACACGAGCGGCGAACGGGUGAGUAACACGUGGGUGAUCUGCCUCGUACUCUGGGAUAAGCCUGGGAAACUGGGUCUAAUACCGGAUAUGACCACGAAUCGCAUGGUUUGUGGUGGAAAGAUUUAUCGGUGCGAGAUGGGCCCGCGGCCUAUCAGCUUGUUGGUGGGGUAAUGGCCUACCAAGGCGACGACGGGUAGCCGGCCUGAGAGGGCGACCGGCCACACUGGGACUGAGACACGGCCCAGACUCCUACGGGAGGCAGCAGUGGGGAAUAUUGCACAAUGGGCGGAAGCCUGAUGCAGCGACGCCGCGUGCGGGAUGACGGCCUUCGGGUUGUAAACCGCUUUCGACAGGGACGAAGCGUGAGUGACGGUACCUGUAGAAGAAGCACCGGCCAACUACGUGCCAGCAGCCGCGGUAAUACGUAGGGUGCGAGCGUUGUCCGGAAUUACUGGGCGUAAAGAGCUUGUAGGCGGUUUGUCGCGUCGUUCGUGAAAACUUGGGGCUCAACCCCAAGCUUGCGGGCGAUACGGGCAGACUAGAGUACUGCAGGGGAGACUGGAAUUCCUGGUGUAGCGGUGAAAUGCGCAGAUAUCAGGAGGAACACCGGUGGCGAAGGCGGGUCUCUGGGCAGUAACUGACGCUGAGAA
rnacentral:rRNA from 1 species